rnacentral:rRNA from 1 species
CGCCUCCUGCAAACAACGACGUAUAGGAGGUCUUGCCUGCCCAGUGACAAUGUUAAACGGCCGCGGUAUUUUGACCGUGCGAAGGUAGCGCAAUCACUUGUCUUUUAAAUGAAGACCUGUAUGAAUGGUGAAACGAGGGCUUAACUGUCUCCCUUUUCUAGUCAAUGAAAUUGAUCUGCCCGUGCAGAAGCGGACAUAAAAAUACAAGACGAGAAGACCCUUUGGAGCUUAAGAUAUAAAGAUCAUCUAUGUCAAUGGGCCCUAACACGGCAACAAACUAAAUAGCAACUGAUCUUAAUCUUCGGUUGGGGCGACCACGGGAGAAAAUAAAGCUCCCACGCGGACUGGGGUAAACCCUAAAACCAAGAAAAACAUUUCUAAGAAACAGAACUUCUGACCAUUAAGAUCCGGCUACACGCCGACCAACGGACCAAGUUACCCUAGGGAUAACAGCGCAAUCCCCUUUCAGAGUCCAUAUCGACAAGGGGGUUUACGACCUCGAUGUUGGAUCAGGACAUCCUAAUGGUGCAGCCGCUAUUAAGGGUUCGUUUGUUCAACGAUUAAAGUCCU